AGGGUUUACAUUCAUUUCAAAACAUUUCAUAUCCCACUGCUUUGCUUCCCUGCUCCUCUCUCUCUCUCUCUCUGGCGAUUCCAGAUCUAGAUCUAGGGUUUGUCUCCAAGGCGAUUUAAGAUCUAGCCUUUCUCAUUGACACCAGAUCGAGGAUCUUCAAGGUGGGUUUAUGGCAUCUUCAAGGUGAGUUUUGCCAUCACCAAUCUCCAAAGAAUCAAGCAAUCUGACCCAGGGUUCCAACUAAUGACGAAGGUCGACAAAUUAGAGUUUUGACUACCGAUCUACUUCUACAUGUAUGCUCUGCAGACUAUCAAGGGUUUUGAGGUUACAUGAUUAACAGAGGUGAAGAUGGAGUCACGAGUUAACAGAGGUGAAGAUGGAGUUGAAGGGGUUCUUCUACAUCACAGGACUUUCACACCUUUUGUUGGGCAUAAUUAGCCUUAUGGUCGAGUUUACUAUGAAGGAUUUUAAGAUUCCACGGAACCUGCAUUAAAGUUAGACUUCAUGCGACUUUUGAGCUGUUUGGUCCAUUCAACCAGUUUGAUUGGUUUACUCUUACCCAAAUUCAAAAUCAAGAUAGAACAUAACCCAAACUGACCCACUUGUAAAUAAGUAUGUUAAAGUUUUUUGUUAACCCAUUAGUUUUGCUAAAAACUUUAUUACUUUUUCAUGUUGAUUUGUUGUUUACAGCAAUGGCAACCGGACUGGAAUCAAAACUUCGUUAUGCAUCAGUUCAUAUUCUGUCUGAUACCAUGGAAGCUGCAAGAAAACCGUCUGCUGCUGCUAUUGUUGGGGUUGCUCAUAGUUGUUAAAAGCCAUCGCCUCUUGCGCCUAGGCCCAUUUUUCAGGCGAGGCGAGGUAGUUGCGCCUUAAGUCGAGGAAAUUGCGCUUUAAUUCUCUAGGUGAUGCACAUUCCGGCGAGAUUCCUAGGCUUAAAAUUUAGAGCCUUCCGUUGAAAAGAAUCGUUUUGAAAGAAAUUGGGGGGCAUGAAGGCGUUUGACGGUUCCUUAAAACACGUCAUAUCGUUCCAUUUGAGUUUUUAGUAAUCAACAUUGACCAAGUAAUUUUGUAGCUGUUGGCUUUCUUUGUUACUGUGCAAUCUGGAGAUUGCUAAUGGGCUUCAGCCGUGGUUGGAUCAUCUCAUUUUUAAUAAUCUAGCAACUAAAUACUAAUGUCAUGGCAUUCAUUAGUGUUGUUUGUUACAUUUGUUUUUAACUGUUAUCAUUAAGUAGACAGUAGGCAAUACCAAUAUUGCUCAUGUCAUAGGACAAACCUAUGGUUUAGGACCAAUUUGACCGUUUGCUCUGUUAGAUUUAAAAAAGUUUUUGUGUUUUUAAA